rnacentral:rRNA from 1 species
UACGGGGGGAGCAAGCGUUGUUCGGAUUUACUGGGCGUAAAGGGCGCGUAGGCGGCCACCGCAAGUCGAUUGUGAAAUCUCCGGGCUUAACCCGGAAAGGUCAACCGAUACUGCGGGCUAGAGUGCAGAAGGGGCAACUGGAAUUCUCGGUGUAGCGGUGAAAUGCGUAGAUAUCGAGAGGAACACCUGCGGCGAAGGCGGGUUGCUGGGCUGACACUGACGCUGAAGUGCGAAAGCCAGGGGAGCAAACGGG